rnacentral:rRNA from 1 species
AGAAUCAACGCUGGCGGCGUGCCUAACACAUGCAAGUCGCACGAGAAAGGGACUUCGGUCUUGAGUAAAGUGGCGCACGGGUGAGUAACACGUGAAUUAUCUACCUCCGAAUGGGGAAUAACUGAGAGAAAUCUUAGCUAAUACCGCAUAAUACCUACGGGUCAAAGCAGCAAUGCGUUUGGAGAGGAGUUCGCGGUCGAUUAGUUAGUUGGCGGGGUAAUGGCCCACCAAGACGAUGAUCGAUAUCCGGCCUGAGAGGGCGCACGGACACACUGGAACUGAAACACGGUCCAGACUCCUACGGGAGGCAGCAGUGGGAAUUUUGCGCAAUGGGGGAAACCCUGACGCAGCAACGCCGCGUGGAGGAUGAAAUAUCUUGGUAUGUAAACUCCUUUCGAUGGGGAAGAUAAUGACGGUACCCAUAGAAGAAGCCCCGGCUAACUUCGCGCCAGCAGCCGC